rnacentral:rRNA from 1 species
AGCGAACGCUGGCGGCAGGCCUAACACAUGCAAGUCGAACGAACUCUUCGGAGUUAGUGGCGGACGGGUGAGUAACACGUGGGAACGUGCCUUUUGGUUCGGAAUAACUCAGGGAAACUUGUGCUAAUACCGAAUGUGCCCUUCGGGGGAAAGAUUUAUCGCCAUUAGAGCGGCCCGCGUCUGAUUAGCUAGUUGGUGAGGUAACGGCUCACCAAGGCGACGAUCAGUAGCUGGUCUGAGAGGAUGACCAGCCACACUGGGACUGAGACACGGCCCAGACUCCUACGGGAGGCAGCAGUGGGGAAUCGUGCGCAAGGGGCGAAAGCCUGACGCAGCCAUGCCGCGUGAAUGAUGAAGGUCUUAGGAUUGUAAAAUUCUUUCACCGGGGACGAUAAUGACGGGACACGGAGAAGAAGCCCCGGCUAACGUCG